rnacentral:rRNA from 1 species
AUUGGUUUCUCCCUUCUGACGAACCAAGAUGUCAUUAAUUUGGUGUCUUGGGGAAUCAGGACCGUUACUUUGAAAAAAUUAGAGUGUUUAAAGCAGGCUCGCGCUUGAAUACAUUAGCAUGGAAUAAUGAAAUAGGACGUUUGAUUCUAUUUUGUUGGUUUCUAGGAUCGACGUAAUGAUUAAUAGGGAUAGUUGGGGGCAUUAGUAUUCAAUUGUCAGAGGUGAAAUUCUUGGAUUUAUUGAAGACUAACUACUGCGAAAGCAUUUGCCAAGGAUGUUUUCAUUAAUCAAGAACGAAAGUUAGGGGAUCGAAGACGAUCAGAUACCGUCGUAGUCUUAACCAUAAACUAUGCCGACUAGGGAUCGGAUGAUGUUAAUUUUUUAAUGACUCAUUCGGCGCCUUACG